rnacentral:rRNA from 1 species
GACGAACGCUGGCGGCGUGCUUAACACAUGCAAGUCGAACGGAAAGGCCCUGCUUUUGUGGGGUGCUCGAGUGGCGAACGGGUGAGUAACACGUGAGUAACCUGCCCUUGACUUUGGGAUAACUUCAGGAAACUGGGGCUAAUACCGGAUAGGAGCUCCUGCUGCAUGGUGGGGGUUGGAAAGUUUCGGCGGUUGGGGAUGGACUCGCGGCUUAUCAGCUUGUUGGUGGGGUAGUGGCUUACCAAGGCUUUGACGGGUAGCCGGCCUGAGAGGGUGACCGGCCACAUUGGGACUGAGGUACGGCCGAGGCGCCUACGGGAGGCAGCAGUGGGGAAUAUGGCACAAUGGGCGGAAGCCUGAUGCAGCAACGCCGCGUGGGGGAAGACGGCGUUCGGGUUGUAACACGCUUUCGCCGGUGACGAAGCGUGAGUGACGGGAAUGGGUAAAGAAGCACAGGCUAACUAAGUG